GACGGAGGUCCCUAGCGUUGUUCGGAAUCACUGGGCUUAAAGCGCGUGUAGGCGGGAAUGCAAGUACCUUGUGAAAUCCCCGGGCUCAACCCGGGAAUUGCUUGGUAUACUGCUGUCCUUGAGGCAGGUAGGGGUCACUGGAACCUUAGGUGGAGCGGUGAAAUGCGUAGAUAUCUAAGGGAACGCCUGUGGCGAAAGCGGGUGACUGGGCCUGUCCUGACGCUGAGACGCGAAAGCGUAGGGAG
rnacentral:rRNA from 1 species